rnacentral:rRNA from 1 species
UAUCCCUACGGGACGCAGCAGUGGGGGAUAUUGCACAAUGGGGGAAACCCUGAUGCAGCGACGCCGCGUGAGUGAAGAAGUAUUUCGGUAUGUAAAGCUCUAUCAGCAGGGAAGAUAAUGACGGUACCUGAGUAAGAAGCCCCGGCUAACUACGUGCCAGCAGCCGCGGUAAUACGGAGGAUGCGAGCGUUAUCCGGAUUUAUUGGGUUUAAAGGGUGCGCAGGCGGCGAGUUAAGUCAGCGGUAAAAUUUCGGGGCUCAACCCCGACGAGCCGUUGAAACUGGCUUGCUAGAGUGGGCGAGAAG